CAGCCCAGCAGCAAAAGAUGGUCAGCACAGCCCGUGAUGCUCCUGGUUUGGUCCUGUACAUGGUCAGAGCUGGAACCCAUACCGAGCCCAUCGUGCUUCCUGUUGACAGGAAGGCAUCUGUUUCGGUAUGAUUUGCUCUGCGUUGAGCUGCUGCUAAAACUGCUGCCAAGUGAAUGCCUGAUACUGCUGGAAAGAUGGUUUUGUUGGGGGGAGAUAAACUAGUGUCUGACUACUGCAUUUGUGUGCGUGAAGCAUCAGUGUUAACCUUGCAAAUGUGGAUGGUUAUCCUGGGGAUAAGAUCCCGUGACCUGUCAUUUAUUUUUCCCCAAUGAAAAAAAAAAAUCUAUUAUGUGUUCCAUGUAAGGUUUCAAGUGUCUGGUUUUGGUUGGUGUUUCAGAGAAUAUAAAGGGAGCACUUCAAAAUGCUGAAACUCCCUUUUUCUUCUCAAAUGUCCUUGUUAUGCUUCCUGUUUGUUUUUUUAUAAAGAAGGAUUUAUGAUGUAUGCUGGGAUGGAACUGAAAUACAGAUCAUGUGUUCUAAUCUACUUGUUACCCUGGUAUGUUCAAAGAAAAGACAAUGCCAACUUUUAAUUAAAGAAUAUAUUGUUUUCUUACCUCCCUUAGUUUUUCUUUAAAUUGCAAAAAUAGUCAGCAUACGGUCUCAGUAGGAAGAGAUGCAAAGAGGAGAUGCUACUCACCUGCCUGUUGCUUUUGUAUGAUAUGUAAUAUCCAAAACUAACGUUUUACCAGCCAGUGUAACCUUACUAAGAGGGAUUUGGAAACUGCUGUCAGUUUGCACUGUAUCAGUCAAGGUUUGGCAUUACUAAUCUUGAGCUCGCAAGGUAAAAUCUUCUUGAACCAAAUACAGCGAAGCAACAGGUUUGAAGACAGAGGGCCCGGAUGGCAGCUCUCUUCUCCAGAUACUGGUGAAGGUUAAAUUGGUUGUGGUUUCUAGAAAAGCCAUGAGAAUCAUGCAGUUUCCCUUGUUCUUUAAUCCAUAUUGCUCUUUUUGUGAAGGACAGGCACAAUAUCUGCGUAUUGCCGCUUUGCUGAGCUCAUUUCCCAGGCUUUACAAAACAAAGCUCAUCAUUCUCUGAUCAUUUUCAGGAUUUUUUACAUAUACAUUUCUAGGAUUUCCACUGUAAAGCAGGAGUCGACAUUUCACGAGGCUGAAAUGGAUGCGGGGUCCAAUCCUGCUGCAGCAUUACGAACUGGGACACCAGUGGAAGUGAGACGGGGCCUGAUGCUCCACAUCUCCCUGUGCUUUCCGAAACCAGGGUAACGCUGCCCUCUUUAAGAGGCUCCAGAGGACCAGAAAAAUCUGUGCAAGCUUGAUCCCUUUACCAUAUUAGCCUUGUAGCAUAGCUGUGUAAGCACAGAGCACGGUGGAUAAAGACACUUAAAAGCCUCCACGGCUCAUCAGAGCAAACCUGCUUAUUGCCAGCACAAUCACGAAAGUUGCAGCGCGUGCCGGAAGGCUGAGUUCUCCCUGCGGCACCCUGGACAGCAGAUUUCUAGCCCAGUUUUCCCCUAACUUCAAUCAUCUUGCUUACAAUUCAGGAGAACAAAACUAAG
rnacentral:lncRNA from 1 species